CUGUGUUAAAUGCAGCUACUCAAUAGUUGUAUGCACCGAAUACUACAUGUCUAGAUUGUGGUAGGGAGUUUCGGAAUUAAGCAUGGAGCGGUGGAAUGUGUAGAUAUGCUUAAGAACACCAGAGGCGAAGGCGGAAACUUAGGCCAUAAAUGACGCUUAGGCUUGAAAGUGUGGGGAGCAAAUGGGAUUAGAUACCCCAGUAGUCCACACCGUAAACGAUGGGUAUUAGAUAUUAGGGCUUUAGCUUUAGUGUUGUAGCUUACGCGUUAAAUACCCCGCCUGGGUAGUACAUAUGCAAAUAUGAAACUCAAAGGAAUUGACGGGGACCUGAACAAGUGGUGGAGCAUGUUGCUUAAUUCGAUAAUACACGAAAAACCUUACCAAGGUUUGACAUCCCUCGCAAAGCUAUAGAAAUAUAGUGGAGGUUAUCGAGGUGACAGGUGGUGCAUGGCUGUCGUCAGCUCGUGUCUUGAGAUG
rnacentral:rRNA from 1 species